rnacentral:tRNA from 1 species
GGGGGUGUAGGUCAGAUGGUAGAGCGCUCGCUUAGCAUGCGAGAGGUACUGGGAUCGAUAGCCAGCACCUCCA